UUACAGAUUUACAGCUUUGAUUUGAAGUAGUUAUGCGUAGGGGGUUUGAUAGGGUUGAGUAAAAGGGACCAAAUCAAACAAAUACCUAAAUAAGCCCAUUCUUAUGUAAGUAAAAUUGCUUGCAGCAUUUUCAUUAAAACAAAAGUUGUAUUGCUUGCAACAUAAAAGAAAUGCUACAUGCACUAAACUCAUAAUUUAAUAUAAAGAGAGAAAAUAAAAAAAAAAUUAAAAAAAUAUCAUGUACACGUGUUCAUAAUCAACAUACAAUCACCCCUCAUGCCUUUAAUUGUCUGAUAAUCUGGCCGAAAUCGACCUGGAACUUUAUAAUCCGACCAGAAUCUUUUCCAAUUGAAAUUACUCGAGUCUAAAUCAUCCCAACCCGAGUUUAAAUCAUCCCAACCCGAGUUUGACAUGCCCAAACCUAUUUGAACUCGACCAGGUUUCACCUAGUCCGUUAAUGAUUCGAAUUGAACUUGACCCGAUCUGAAAUUGACCCGACAGCACUUAACUCCAAUUGACCCAAACCAAAUAGACCAAAUCCGAACCCGACACUUUUGACCCGCACUUGACGUGAAACUAAUAGACCAACAUGUCGUAGAUUAAGCCAAAAUUCAUCCAAUGACCCUAUUAACACCUCUACUUGAGUCACGCCUUAAACGGUCUAGUUAUCGGACCGCGACAAAUAGGACAAGUUAAAUUAUAGUUGAAAUACCACGUCUCAAUACAAUCCGUAUGGAAUUUAUGUCCACAUUGUCUCAAAACCGUAAUCGUCCUACCAACCUUACUAAUAUCGUCAUCCUCUAGAUUAAUGAGUAUGAUAACUCUAUCGUUAUGUUCAUCGUCAAAACUUUCCAAACAAAUCGGACACUUGAUGCAACUCGUAGAAAUUUUAGUAAUCGUAUUAUUAUCGCCGUCGUCGUCGUCGCCGUCGCUGAUGUGGUCUAACAUCAAUGGUCCAUUUUUCCAAAGAUAAAGAAAAAAAUUAAUUUCCCGGCGGUAACGCAUUAUCAAAUACAGAAUCAAAUAACAAAAUGAUGCUAUGGCCAGCGGUAUCAUCAGGAUACAUAAAGUUAUGAGAUUAAAGAAAUAAUUCAUCGCCAUUGUAGAACAAUUAAGGGAAGUAAUAUCAAUGAGAUUGACAAACCUAACUAUUAAAUAGCAUCAUUGUAAUUAAUUAAUUGAUAGAAGUACUUCUCUAUAUAUAUGGAACUUCCAAAGUGACCCUUUAAAAAGUUGUUUCCUAUACCGAAUAGAAAAUUCUAUUUCCUAAAUCGAAUAGAAAUUAGUGAAAUUAAUUAACUCUACUAGUAUAAGUCCAAUUCGGGAAUUAUGGACAAUGGCGCACCUAAAAGAAAAGGCAUUAUGACGAUUAAUACUCCAAAUCAGAUGACCUAGACCUGAUCAAAAGCCAGACCAGGUUCGUGCCAAGCCAAGGGCAUAAAAAUAAACUCAUUAUAUGUGGCUGGGCCGGGCCAAGCUUUAUGCCAAUUUUGUGUGCCCAAAAUUUGCUGUUUCGGGCAAAAAAUAAUGGGUUUUCGGGCCAAUCGGACCAUACCAAAUUUAUAACUAAAGUUAUUGUCUUACGUGUCCCAAAGCCACAAGUUUUUAAAAUGUCCAGGCCAGACCGGGCACAAAAAUCGGGCCGUAAUAUUCUGUCACAGCCCGUAAUUUUCAGGUCAUGCCGGGCCAGCGGGCUGAGCCAUGUUUAUCAUCUCUAAGAUGACCCAACUAAUCAAGUACUUGCUAAAAAUGUCAAAUUUAACAAUGCCGUAGAAAUAUUCUCAAGCACACCCUUCAAAAACAAAUUUCAAGUCCGAUUAAAUUUUCAGUCCAACUAAUUUGAAAGUUCUUAACUAAGAUUUUCCUUGUGAUCAGAUUAAAUAGAAACCUGGCAAACAGGUCAUUUUAGAUCACUCUUACUAUGGAUCCGCUUUAUUAAGAAUUCGGGUUAAGUUCAGAUCCUUUUAGAUCACUCUUACUAUGGAUCCGUAAGAAUUCAGGUUAAGAUCCGUUUAUUAAUGGUCAGAUCAAGUCAAUAAUCGGGGUUAAUAUCAAUCUGGUUGAUAUUAGAUCAGUUGAAAAUUUAGAAUUAGAGCCGGUAAACAUGUGGUGUCAAAUUGUGAUCGUGUGAAAUAUAAACGGGUUGGAAAAGUCUGAACAAUAACCCGACCCGUUUAAUAAACAUGUCUGUGUUAAUCUGAUUUUGAUAGGGUGGAAUAUAUACUGGUUGGAAAAGGUCUCAACACUAAACCGACCCGUUCAAUAAACGUGUCGUGUUAAUCUGUCUAACUAAUCGUGUAAAUUAUUGGUUGAUUUAACACUAAGAUUUUUCUAUAGUUAAAAUAACACAAUUUUUUGGGUUGAGUUUUCGGUGUUAUACUAAAAUUUCGAGGUAAAAGUUUUGAUCGGGUCAUUUCCCUUGGAUGUAAAAAGUUUCAAUUAUCAAUUUUAUUAUUAUGCAUAAAUCUCAAAUUACAGACCACACCCUUAAAAAGUUAAAUAAAAUAGUUUUCAAAAUCAAUUAGAAAAUGUGAGAAGGAUUUAGUAGACAAGGAGCAAGAAUUAGCAACCCCAUCUGUGGAUCCAUCACUACGGUUGUCUGGCCGCUGCUGCCUUUUGUUCUUUUGAUUUUCACCAAAAACAACAAAUUCAGCUAUUUCUUUACGCAUCUUAGAUCAAAGGCCCCCAUUAUUGUAUAAUUAAGUGGGUACCAAAUAUAUACAAGAUGCGAAUUUAAUCAUUUUACCAAGAACACAAACUCCAGAAUUAAACAUAUGUCAAAAAUAAAAAAUUAAAGAGAUUAGGAGGGAGAUAAAUGGAUGUAAUCCAACUACGGGACCAACAUGAUCAUCGGAAUGAAGAACAUAUGGGCGAUUAAAAUGGAAGCUGGAAUUGAAAACUUCAUUAAUUUUGCAAACGAAGAAAUUGCCUCAAAACAUGGAAAAUGGUUAUGGGACAGAGUGCGUUUGCUAUAACCAAAACAAUUUGAAGAAAUGAGAUUAUAGAAAUGAAAUUGAAGAUGAUAUUUCAGUAUAUAAGGGCCUGAAAGAUCAGAUAGAUUCAAAAUCAGGCGAGUGAUACUGAUAAAUUAGGUUUUGCAAGGUUCCGAUUCAGGAAAAAUUGGUUGGAUUGUUGAUUAUAAUUCGAAAUCCACUCAAGAAGCUACCUUGCUUUUCAACCAACUGUAUAACUACAAAUUCAUACAAAAUUUAAAAAAAUAAAAAAAUUGCAGAGAUGAGAGAGAAACGGGGGAAGGGGAUGACUGUAGAGACGGGUCAGAAGGGCACGAAUGAUUAGGGUUCAUGAGGGAGCGGAGUAUUUAUAGCAACUAGUUUGUGGUUAACGGAUUUGGAACCCUAAUUACAUGUGGUUCAAAGGCCAAGCCCAUAUAUAACAGCCCACCUAAUGUCUAUUCUUAGACUUCUGUCAAGCUUUUAACCUAAUGAAGUUCAAUUACACUAAUUUUUUUAAGUUACUAGGUCGGGCCAAAAAUUUCAAACAUGUGGAUGUGGCCCAUACCCACCUACCCUCAUGCCAUGUCGGACCGUCGUGCCUAAGAUUCGAGUAAUUUUAACGAGCACGAGUAGAUCAAUGGGCUCUCGUGUUUAGAGAGUUUGAGUUGUGCGUGGUUUGAGUAAUUUCGAAUUGAGUCGAGCACACCUCAACUUGUGGGUUGUGGCACCCCUAAUUGUGACCUAUAGAGUUUAUUCCUUACAGCAACAGGGUGCUAAGCUAUUUAUAGCUUAUUUGUGGUGGGUGUAAACAUUGGGCACUAAAAGUGAAAAGGGACUUGAGGACUACUCCCUAUUUCAUCCUAAUUAUUUUUGUUGAUUGGGGGACAUGUAUUCUUUCACUCGCAACAGCAAGCUUAGUGGGAGGAGCAAUGUUAUAUGCUUCCGAUAUUGGACGUGUUGGUGAUUACAGCCCAACCACCGGUAUUUACGGCGUGAGUAUACUAUCUGCUGUAUGUGGCAUGAUUAGUUGGUUUAUGAUAUUUGUGUCUGCCAUUGUUGAGUUUUUGACUUUGGCUUCCAUGUGAUGCAAGUAUUAUAUUAUUUUUAUUAUAGGUCAUAAGUAUUAUAUUUUAUACACAUAUUGCA